GAAAGGCUCAAUGGCAGAGCAUCCGCUUGGCACGUGGAAGGUCCUGGGUUCAAUCCCCGGCAUUUCCA
rnacentral:tRNA from 1 species